rnacentral:misc_RNA from 1 species
GAUGAAGAACUCAGCGAAAUGCGAUAAGUAAUGUGAAUUGCAGAAUUCAGUGAAUCAUCGAAUCUUUGAACGCACAUUGCGCCCCUUGGUAUUCCGAGGGGCAUGCCUGUUCGAGCGUCAUUAUAACCCCUCAAGCUCAGCUUGGUGUUGGGGCCUGCUGCACUGGCAGCCCUUAAAAUCAGUGGCGGCGCCAUCUGGCUCUAAGCGUAGUAAUUCUUCUCGCUAUGGAGUCCUGGUGGAUGCUUGCCAUCAACCCCCAAUUUUUCUAUGGUUGACCUCGGAUCAGGUAGGGAUACCCGCUGAACUUAAGCAUAUCAAUAAGCGGAGGA